GGGUUGUGAGGUUAAGCGAAUAAGCGUACACGGUGGAUGCCUAGGCAAUCAGAGGCGAUGAAGGACGUGCUAAUCUGCGAAAAGCGUCGGUAAGGUGAUAUGAACCGUUAUACCCGACGAUAUCCGAAUGGGGAAACCCAGUAUCCAAUGGAUACUAUCAUUAACUGAAUCCAUAGGUUAAUGAGGCGAACCGGGAGAACUGAAACAUCUCAGUACCCCGAGGAAAAGAAAUCAACCGAGAUUCCCCUAGUAGCGGCGAGCGAACGGGGAGCAGCCCAGAGUCUUAAUCAAUAGCAGUGUCAGGAGAACGGUCUGGAAAGUCCGGCAGUAAAGGGUGAUAGCCCCGUAUCUGAAGAUGCUGUUAUUGUGAACUCGACGAGUAGGGCGGGACACGUGUUAUCCUGUCUGAAUAUGGGGGGACCAUCCUCCAAGGCUAAAUACUCCUGAUUGACCGAUAGUGAACCAGUACCGUGAGGGAAAGGCGAAAAGAACCCCGGCGAGGGGAGUGAAAAAGAACCUGAAACCGUGUACGUACAAGCAGUAGGACCCUCAUUAUGGGGUGACUGCGUACCUUUUGUAUAAUGGGUCAGCGACUUAUAUUCUGUAGCAA
rnacentral:rRNA from 1 species